rnacentral:lncRNA from 1 species
ACCUUAAUGAAAAAUAAUAAUGCUGAAAAACAAACCAGAUAUUUACCUGUUCCUUGCACUCAGGGAACAGGCAAUGUUGAGGGAUACCUGGGGUCCUCGAAGCACCUGUUAGCAGUUUGGCUAGUGGUUUCAAGAAAAGCCGCAGCAGGGAUGGACUCGAUACAGAGGAACGCACUGUUAUGAUCAGACGUCAGAACGGACAGCUUGUGAGUGAUCAGAUCGACCCUACAGGUGAAUGAUGCGCGC